UCCCUGAUGGUUCAGAAGAUAAAGAAUCUGUCUUCAAUGCAGGAGACCCAGGUUCGAUUCCUGGGUUGGGAA
rnacentral:tRNA from 1 species